rnacentral:rRNA from 1 species
UACGGGGGGAGCAAGCGUUGUUCGGAUUUACUGGGCGUAAAGGGCGCGUAGGCGGCAUGACAAGUCACUUGUGAAAUCUCUGGGCUUAACUCAGAACGGCCAAGUGAUACUGUCGCGCUAGAGUGCAGAAAGGGCAAUCGGAAUUCUUGGUGUAGCGGUGAAAUGCGUAGAUAUCAAGAGGAACACCUGAGGCGAAGGCGGGUUGCUAGGCUGACACUGACGCUGAGGCGCGAAAGCCAGGGGAGCAAACGGG